UACGUAGGAGGCGAGCGUUGUCCGGAUUCAUUGGGCGUAAAGAGCACGCAGGCGGUUUGGCAAGUCGGAUGUGAAAGCCCGGAGCUCAACUCCGGACCUGCAUCCGAAACUGCCCGACUAGAGGUAGGUAGGGGAGAUCGGAAUUCCUGGUGUAGCGGUGAAAUGCGCAGAUAUCAGGAGGAACACCGGUGGCGAAGGCGGAUCUCUGGGCCAUUACUGACGCUGAGGAGCGAAAGCGUGGGGAGCGAACAGG
rnacentral:rRNA from 1 species